CGACCGGCAAACGGGUGCGGAACACGUACGCAACCCUCCUUUAACUGGAGAAUAGCCCGGGGAAACCCGGAUUAAUACUCCGUAACAUUAUGAAGUGGCAUCAUUUUAUAAUUAUAGCUCCGGCGGUUAAAGAUGGGCGUGCGCCUGAUUAGGUAGUUGGCGGGGUAACGGCCCACCAAGCCUACGAUCAGUAACUGGUGUGAGAGCACGACCAGUCACACGGGCACUGAGACACGGGCCCG
rnacentral:rRNA from 1 species